rnacentral:rRNA from 1 species
AGGAACGCUAGCGGCAGGCUAAUACACCGCAGUCGAACGGUGUCUUCGGACAUAGUGGCGCACGGGUGCGUAACACGUAUGCAACCUACCUUACAUUGGGGGAUAGCCUUUCGAAAGGGAGAUUAAUACCGCAUAAGACAGUAGCUGGGCAUCCAGCAGCUGUUAAAGAUUUAUCGAUGUAAGCUGGGCAUGCGUCCAAUUAGCUACGUUGGUGAGGUAAUGGCUCACCAAGGCAAUGAUUGGUACGGGAACUGAGAGGUCAAUCCCCCACACUGGCCACUGAGAUACCGGACCACACUCCUACGGGAGGCAGCAGUAGGGAAUAUUGGGCAAUGGACGCCAGUCUGACCCAGCCAUGCCGCGUGCAGGAUGAAGGCGUUAUGCGUUGUAAACUGCAGUUUUAUACAGGAAGAAACGACUCUUGCAGAGAGGCAUUGACGGUACUGUAUGAAUAACGCACCGGACUAACUCCGUGCCAGAAAGCCGCGGUAAUACGGAGAGGUGCACAGCGUUUGU